UCUUGUAAGUUGGAGAAGACAAUAUUUAAUUUCAAUUCGUUUUCGAGAAGAAGGUAGACCCAUUUAUUACCUAGAUGAAACUUGGCUUAAUACCGGCGAUUGUGUGAAUAAGGUUUAGAUUAUCACAACCGUUACGUCGAGUAGAAUGGCAUUCCUGGAAGGUCUAUCUACUAGCCCCCAGAACCCAACUGGCAAAGGUACAAGGUUAAUAGUAUUACACAUUAGGUCUGCAGCUGGUUUCAUGCCAGGUGGUCUGUUGUGUUUGAAUCCAAAAAAACGCAUCAGAUUACCAUGACGAAAUGAAUGGUCAAACAUUUCAAGAAUGGUUCAAGAAAAUAUUGCCUCUUGUAGAAGAUAAUGCCGUGAUUGUGUUGGAUAAAGCACCAUA